rnacentral:lncRNA from 1 species
UUGAAUUUGGGCCAAUUGGGAGCUCAUUUUCGGAUUUUAUUGGCCCAGCAAGACAAAUGCCUAUUCUUCCCAGCCCAUUAGCCCAUUCUCCACUUAAAUGCAAGAUUUAAUCUUAGCCAUCUAUUCCCUUCCAAUCUAAUGGAUCAUGUCAAUUCUUACACCCAUAUUUAAACCCAAUUAUAACCAAACCCUAACCUAUCUUUUAAUCUCCUAAGAGACCAAAAUAAAAAUAAAAAAGGAUGGCAGCCAUCUCCCUGGAAAACACCCCUUUAGAUUUUAACUAUGUUCUUACCUUCAAAUUAAAAAAGACACACGCAUAUACAGAGAAGAAAGGGAGAAACGACCAUAAUUCCCUUGAUUACCGCCACAAACCUCUCAUUUUUCGAACAAUAAAAAAAACGGCAGCUUGACACCUAAUCCCCAAAAGGAAAAAGCAGCCACCCCCCAUUUUCCAAAAGCUUCAGCUAUCUCCUAAAUGUGAAGAAUUUAGCAACUGAUUAAUGCAUUUAAAAAAACGAUGUAUUACACCUCCAAGUUGUUUUGCAGUAAGGCAAUUUUGCCGAUUUGUAUCAAAAUUAGGAUGUUGAAGUCGUUUGAGGUCGCCGACGAGGUUCCAUCGAGGUUGUCACCUCCAAGGUUUCUGGUCUUGAAAUACUUUCAGAUUCAAAGAGCUAAGGUUCUUUCUUAUCUCUCUGACUUAUGAAUCCCUUAUUUGCUUUACUUGAUAUUGUUUUGAGAUCUUGCUAUUUAAUUGACGACUUUUAUUCCCAUUUAAUGUUUUUAUUGUUCAUGAUCUAUUUGCUAUGACGUUAAAAUCUUGACUGGCGUGGGAUUUUUGGGAUAAUCUUUGUUAAUUAUCGACUAUGGGUUAAUCAAUUGGAUAUUUGGAUUAAGCUUCAUCAUAAGACUAAAAGUUUGGCAUAUCUCGACCUAAGUGAAUAACACCUUUUAAUUUUUCUAGAUUUAAAUUUUAUUGAUAUAAUAGUCCUUAGAUUUGGUAAAUAUAUGGGAUUGCAGUAAUGUUAAGCUUGGGAUGAAAUUUGUAUUAAAGAGCUCUAAUGUGUAUUUGGACACCAGUUCAUGAAUUAAAAGAAGGCAGAAGUUGGCAUCUUGUGACCUGAUUGGUUCAUAGGGGUUAAACACUAAAAAUAAACAAAUUAUGAACAUCGUAGCUUGCUUGAGGAGCGAUUAAUAAUAAAUUAUCGUGACUAUGGGUACGGUUCCCGUAGCAUAGUCAUGAUAUCUAAUCCCAAUUUGAGUGCGCGUUUCACGCGACUCGACCACAACUUCGAAUAAUAAUAAAAAUCAACAUGUUGUAGAUCGCGGGUGCGUUUCCCGUGAUGCGAUUCACAAUAUGUACAAAAAAUAAUAAGUGCGCGACAUCGCAACUUAUUCAAAUAAAUUUCAUAAAUCGUAGUAACAUUCUAUUAAAAGCGGUUAGAAAGUAAAAAAUGCAUAAUCAGUCUCAAAUAUAUAUUUAAUCAGAUAAUUAGGCCAAUUAUUAAUUGUGAUGACCCAAAAGGUCAUCACAUGUGUUGCAAUGAAAUUCUACGUUACGAGGCCUUAAAAACCUCCCUUAGCAUCACCUCGAUUUGCGUGUAUAGUCCGAGCGCAUAGCCGGAAAGCUUAAAUGUGAAAAUUUGUAAAAAAUGAUAAGUUUUGACUGUAAAAUGAAUAAAUUUGUCUUCGGUUAAUAUUUUGGGUAAACGAACCCGGAUCCAUGAUUUGACGGUCCUGGAGGUUUCGUAGCAAAAUAUGGGACUUGGGCGUAUGCCCGGAAUCGAAUUUCGAGGUCCCAAGCCCGAGAAAUAAAUUUUUAAAGGAAAUUAUUUUCUAAAAUUGUUUAAAGAAAUUUGAAAUGAAAUUUGCUUAGAACAUGAUGGUACGGGCCCGAAUUUUUGGUUUCGGCGCUCGGUACAUGUCUUAUAUAUUAUUUAAGACGUUUCUGUGGAAUUUGGUAAAAAACGGAUGUCAAUUGACGUGAUUCAAACUUAAAUUGCAAAAUUGAUGUUUAAAGAAGUUUUAAGAAAUUUCAUUGAUCUCGAGGUUUUAUUUGAUUUUCAUGAUGUUAUUUUUGUGAUUUGAUUACACGAAUAAGUCCGUAGGAUGUUUUUGAGGUUUUGUUUGCACUUGGUUUGAAGUUCCGAGGGCUCGGGUGAGUUUCAGGAUGUUUUAGACUUAAAACCAGAAGUUGCAGGUCUCUGAAGCCGCCAGUGCGGUCCACACAAAAACGUGUGCGACCGCGGAAGGGGGCCAGUGCGGUCCGCGAUCGGUUUCGAGCGGUACGCAGUAGAGGCCUGUGCGGCCGCAGUCCAUUUUGUGCGGUCCGCACAUGGGGUCUGAGAGGGGUAUAAAUAGACGAGAUUUUCAGUUAUUUUGUAUUUUUCAAAAACCCCAAAAACAUAAGAGACAAUUUUUCAAACAACCUUUCUUCUCCAAAUCAAUUGUAAGUCAUUUUUAACUAGUUUUCUUCAAUCAUUAACAUCUUUUAACAUAAUUUCAACUUCAAAUCAAUGUUUUUCAUAGGGGAAAUUGAGUGUUUUGGGUAGAACGUAGGUUUUUCAAAAAUUGGGGAUUUGGACCUCGAUUUAAGGUCCGAUUUCAAAACAAAUUACAUAUUUGAGCUCGUGGAGGAAUGGGUAAUCGGAUUUUGGUUCGAACCUCGGGUUUUGACCACGAGAUAAAUGAAAUGGGAGCGGGUGGCAUGCCUGUCACAAGAUACAUGACAAGGGAUCGGGUUGCACGCCUGCAACAAGAAGUGAAAAGAAAGAGAAAUCUGCUUUUGUUUUCCUUAUUCUUGUUAGUGGUUGGAUUUUGAUUCCUUUAUAGUUCUCUUGAUAUUUUGUUUUUCCUGCUAUUCCCCGAUGCAUGUUUCCCCCUCCCAUCCUUGUUUAUUCCUGCUUUACUUUCCGCUGUAUAUCAUAUAACUGCACAGGUUUAUCUGAUGUCUGGUCCUAGCCUCGUCACUACCUCACCGGGGUUAGGCAAGGCACUUACCAACACAUGAGGUCGGUUGUGCUGAUGCUACACUCUGCAUUUAUGUGCAGAUACCGAAGCAACAUUGGGUCAGCAGCAGUAGCUUGAGAGCCAGCCUUCAGUCCACCGAGACUCCGAGGUAGUCCUGCAGGCGUUCGCAGGCUUGACGUCUCUUCUAUGAGUUAUUUUGUUCUGUUAUCAUUGUAUCCGAGACAGACAUCGUUCCUUCUUUCAAACGUUUGUAUGUAGCAAUCAUAUAGAGUCCGUGAAUGUUGUGACACCAGUUUCUGAGUAGAGGCAUAUGUUGAUUUCCUUAUUAUUUUGGCUUGUUUUGUUUAAGUCUUCCACUUAAUCUCAUAUUCCGCUAUUAUUUACAUGUUUAUCACCUGGUAAUGCAAGUUGUUAAAAG